rnacentral:rRNA from 1 species
UACGCAGGGUCCGAGCGUUGUCCGGAAUUACUGGGCGUAAAGAGCUCGUAGGUGGUUUGUCGCGUUGUUCGUGAAAACUCACAGCUCAACUGUGGGCGUGCGGGCGAUACGGGCAGACUAGAGUACUGCAGGGGAGACUGGAAUUCCUGGUGUAGCGGUGGAAUGCGCAGAUAUCGGGAAGAACACCCGUGGCGAAGGCGGCUCUCUGGGACGGUACUGACGCUGAGACGCGAAAGCGUGGGGAGCGAACAGG